rnacentral:rRNA from 1 species
GUAGGGAAUAUUGCACAAUGGAGGAAACUCUGAUGCAGCGACGCCGCGUGAGUGAUGAAGGCCUUCGGGUCGUAAAACUCUGUGAUAAGGGAAGAUGAUGACGGUACCUUAUCAGAAAAGACCGGCUAACUUCGUGCCAGCAGCCGCGGUAAUACGAGGGGUCUACGCGCUGUUCGGAAUCACUGGGCGUAAAGCGGGUGUAGGUGGCUAUGCAAGUUGGAUGUGAAAGCCCCGGGCUCAACCCGGGAAGUGCAUCCAAAACUACGUAGCUUGAGUGCGGGAGAGAAAGGCAGAAUUCCUGGUGUAGUGGUGAAAUACGUAGAUAUCAGGAGGAACUCCGGUGGCGAAGGCGGCCUUUUGGCCCAGCACUGACACUCAGACCCGAAAGCGUGGGUAGCAAACAGGAUUAGAAACCCGAGUAGUCC